GAUGAACGCUGGCGGCGUGCCUAAUACAUGCAAGUCGAGCGAACGGACGACAGGCUUGCUGCGCUGAUGAUUGCCGCAGACGUGAGAGUAACACGUGGAUACCCCACCUAUAAGACUGGGAUAACCUCGGGAAACCGGCUCUAAUUCCGUAUGAUAUUUUUAACCGCAUGGUUCAACUGUGAAAGACGGUCUUUCUGUCACUUAUCGCUGCAUCCGCGCUGCAUUAGCUAGUUGGUAAGGUAACGGCUUACCAAGGCAACGAUGCAUAGCCGACCUGAGAGGGUGGUCGGCCGCCCUGGAACGGAGACACGGUCCAGACUACUACGGGAGGCCGCAGUAGGGAAUCUUCCGCAAUAGGCGGAAGCAUGACGGAGUGACGCAGCGUGAGUGAUGAAGGUCUUCGGAUCGUGAAACUCUGUUACGAGGGAAGAACAUAUGUGUGAGGAGCUGUGCACAUAUUGACGGUACCUAAUCAGAAAGCAACGGCUAACUACGUG
rnacentral:rRNA from 1 species